UGGUGCUAAUACCACAUGAUAUCAUACCAAGGCAUCUUGGAAUGAUCAAAGGAGAAAUCCGGUGUGAGAUGGGCCUGCGUCCGAUUAGCUAGUUGGUGUGGUAACGGCGCACCAAGGCGACGAUCGGUAGCCGAACUGAGAGGUUGAUCGGCCACAUUGGGACUGAGACACGGCCCAGACUCCUACGGGAGGCAGCAGUGGGGAAUAUUGCGCAAUGGGGGAAACCCUGACGCAGCAACGCCGCGUGAAGGAAGAAGGCCUUCGGGUUGUAAACUUCUUUGAUUGGGGAAGAAAAAAAUGACGGUACCCAAGGAACAAGCCACGGCUAACUACGUGCCAGCAGCCGCGGUAAUACGUAGGUGGCGAGCGUUGUCCGGAAUUACUGGGUGUAAAGGGCGUGUAGGCGGGAUAGUAAGUCAGAUGUGAAAUUCCAGGGCUUAACUCUGGAGCUGCAUCUGAAACUACUUUUCUUGAGUGCUGGAGAGGAAAGCGGAAUUCCUAGUGUAGCGGUGAAAUGCGUAGAUAUUAGGAAGAACACCAGUGGCGAAGGCGGCUUUCUGGACAGUAACUGACGCUGAGGCGCGAAAGCGUGGGGAGCAAACAGGAUUAGAUACCCUGGUAGUCCACGCUGUAAACGAUGGAUACUAGGUGUAGGAGGUAUCGACCCCUUCUGUGCCGGAGUUAACACAAUAAGUAUCCCACCUGGGGAGUACGGCCGCAAGGGUUGAAACUCAAAGGAAUUGACGGGGGCCCGCACAAGCAGUGGAGUAUGUGGAUUAAUUUCGAAGCAACGCGAAGAACCUUACCAGGGCUUGACAUCCCUCGAAUAACAUAGAGAUAUGUUACUCCUUUCGGGACGAGGAGACAGGUGGUGCAUUGGUUGUCGUCAGCUCGUGUCGUGAGAUCUUGGGUUAAGUCCCGCAACGAGCGCAACCCCUAUUGUUAGUUGCCAUCAUUAAGUUGGGCACUCUAACGAGACUGCCGGUGACAAAUCGGAGGAAGGUGGGGACGACGUCAAAUCAUCAUGCCCCUUAUGUCCUGGGCUACACACGUACUACAAUGGUCACUACAAAGGGAAGCAAUCCUGCAAGGAGGAGCAAAUCCCCAAAAGUGAUCUCAGUUCGGAUUGUGGGCUGAAACCCGCCCACAUGAAGUCGGAAUUGCUAGUAAU
rnacentral:rRNA from 1 species